rnacentral:rRNA from 1 species
GACGAAGGCCCCGAGCGUUACUCGGAUUCACUGGGCUUAAAGGGUGCGUAGGCGGAUCGGAAUGUGCUUUGUGAAAUCCCACGGCUCAACCGUGGAACUGCAGGGUAGACGACCGGUCUGGAGGCUGCUAGGGGCAACUGGAACUCUAGGUGGAGCGGUGAAAUGCGUAGAUAUCUAGGGGAACGCCGAUGGUGAAAACAGGUUGCUGGGGCAGUUCUGACGCUGAGGCACGAAAGCGUGGGGAG